AACGCACAUUGCGCCCGAUAGUAUUCUGUCGGGCAUGCCUGUUCGAGCGUCGUUUCAACCCUCAGGCCCAGCCUGGUGUUGGGGUCUCUGGAAGAAAUUCCGGUACCCUGAAAUGGAGUGGCGGGCCCAGUCGUAACCCGAGCGCAGUAAUUUCUCUCGCUCAGGGGCGCGGCCGGCGCCUUGCCUUCUGAAAUAUUUUUUUCUUGGUUGACCUCGGAUCAGGUAGGAAUACCCGCUGAACUUAA
rnacentral:misc_RNA from 1 species